UGAAUUUGAAGUCUCAGAAUGUGGAUGUGGCAUGGAAAAUUCUGGACCUUUAAUGCUUCCCCACCUGAGAUGACUAAAGCAGACAGAUCUGGAUUCUCUAAAAGAUGUGAACCCCAAAAUAGGAAAAGCUGGUGUGACAAUCCAGGGGUCAAGGAUGUGUUAGAACUUGGAGUCAUGGAUCUAAGACUCAGAACUCUUAUUUGCAGGUUUGUGGUUGUGUAUUGAAUAAUCGCUUUGGAACAGACUAAUGGUCAAGAGCUUCCUAGAAGUGUGAGAUGGCUUGUCACUGCACUUAUAUGGGAAUACCUAACGGAAACUGUUUAUAAGCACAAUGGUCCACCUGGAUAGUACAGGGACACACGUUUCUUCUCAGUUGUACAGACCUGCCAGCUCCUGCUCGGGAUGUGGAAUGCCCUUCUUGGAGGGCAGGCCUGAGUUGAUGCAGUGCUGGGUGAGUGGCAGGUUGUACAGAAGACUUCACAAGAAGGCUGAAGAUGUUGUCCUAGAUGGAGCUCAGAUACCAUGGUGCAAGAAUGUGUCAAUCACUCUACACAGAAAAGGCAGGAGACAGGAUACCCUUUUAGGACAGAAAGGGCUUCAAUUAAAAAUUUCUACACCAUUUUCCUCCAUGAUCAAGGAAUUGUGUGACUUCAGGGAUGGAAACAUUAGUCAGCAUUUCACAAGAUUAGAUUUCCGGGCUGAAGAUCAGAAGCUGCAAUAA
rnacentral:lncRNA from 12 species